rnacentral:tRNA from 1 species
UCUACGGGGUGACUCGGGAGGCUGCGGGCUACGAGCCCGCAGGCCGGGGUACCGCCCCCGCCGAGGAG